GUGGGUGUGGUGUAGGGUACACAGCGGUUUGAAGUGGGUUGUUGUUCAUGCAACAAAGGAGUAAAACAGCAGAUCCAGGUUCGACUCCCGGCACCCGCA